rnacentral:rRNA from 1 species
UACGAAGGGGCUAGCGUUGUUCGGAAUUACUGGGCGUAAAGCGCACGUAGGCGGACUUUUAAGUCAGGGGUGAAAUCCCGGGGCUCAACCUCGGAACUGCCUUUGAUACUGGAAGUCUUGAGUAUGGAAGAGGUAAGUGGAAUUGCGAGUGUAGAGGUGAAAUUCGUAGAUAUUCGCAGGAACACCAGUGGCGAAGGCGGCUUACUGGUCCAUUACUGACGCUGAGGUGCGAAAGCGUGGGGAGCAAACAGGG